UCUUCUCCGACGACUUGAAAUCCAUGGUGGGCCACCUCAAAAUUAUAUCGCAAGUCAUACCGCCGAAGAGAGUUUGUCUGCAGGUCCUGCAAUUCUUCGCCACAAAGCUUUACUGGAACCUACAAACACUCCUUUCAAAUCCAAACACCAUCUGGCACUGUCUGUGAAGAGGCUUUGGCAGUAUUUGGUGAAGCAGGAAGAAAUUCAGGAAACCUUUAUCAAAAAUAUAUUCACAAAGAAACGGUGUCUAAAUGAGAUAGAAGCAGAUUUGGGAUAUCCUGGAGGUAAAGCAAGAAUUAUUCAUAAGGAAUCUGAUAUCAUUACUGCGUUUGCUGUUAAUAAGGCAAAUAGAAACUGUAUAGCAAUCGCUUCCAGUCAUGAUGUUCAAGAACUGGAUGUUUCUGGAAUUCUGGCCACACAGGUCUACACUUGGGUAGAUGAUGAUAUAGAAGUGGAAACCAAAGGAUCAGAAGAUUUCUUGGUUAUACAUGCUCGUGAUGAUUUAACAGCUGUUCAAGGUACAACUCCAUAUACACAUAGCAAUCCUGGCACUCCAAUCAACAUGCCAUGGCUUGGUAGUACACAGACUGGCAGAGGAGCAUCUGUGAUGAUUAAGAAAGCCAUUAAUAAUGUUAGAAGAAUGACUUCUCAUCCAACUCUUCCUUACUUUUGGAAUAGUUGAUGCUGAUGGAUAUUUAAGUUUGUAUCAAACAAACUGGAAAUGUUGUCCAGUUACUGGAAGCAUGCCUAAGCCAUACCUG
rnacentral:sRNA from 1 species